rnacentral:rRNA from 1 species
GCAGCGAAAUGCGAUAACUAAUGUGAAUUGCAGAAUUCAGUGAAUCAUCGAAUCUUUGAACGCACAUUGCGCCCCCUGGUAUUCCGGGGGG